CUAAGAGAAUGGAAGUCCAGAAAAAAACUUUUUUUAAAUUAAAAAUUGAAGUUUUUUUAAUUUGUGCAGAAACAAUUAUUUAUAUUAAAGACAAGAAGACCCUAUGAAUUUAUUAAAUUUUUAUUUAAUAUGUAAUUACUAUUAGAAAAAUUUUGGCUGGGGCGGCUAGAAAAUAUUAUGAACUUUUUAAAAAUAAAAUGAUCCAUUAUUAAUGAUUUUAUGUUAAAUACUCUAGGGAUAACAGCGUUAUAUUUUUUGAUAGAUCAUAUUGACAAAAAAGUUUGCGACCUCGAUGUUGGAUUAGGAUACUUUUUUAAUGAAGAUAUUAAAAAAAGAAGUUUGUUCAACUUUUAAUUUCCUACAU
rnacentral:rRNA from 1 species